UACGGGGGGAGCAAGCGUUGUUCGGAUUUACUGGGCGUAAAGGGCGCGUAGGCGGCCAGCACAAGUCAGUUGUGAAAUCUCCGAGCUUAACUCGGAAAGGUCAACUGAUACUGUGCGGCUAGAGUGCGGAAGGGGCAACUGGAAUUCCAGGUGUAGCGGUGAAAUGCGUAGAUAUCUGGAGGAAUACCGGUGGCGAAGGCGGCAUCCUGGACCGGCAUUGACGCUGAGGAGCGAAAGCUAGGGGAGCAAACGGG
rnacentral:rRNA from 1 species